UCAAAAGCGUUGACGGGAAAGCAGUAGUCCCGGAGUGUUCCUUUCAGAGAGCCGCUGUGUGGUGCGAAGCGGCAGGAAUUCCGCGAUGAAAUACCUCCCUGAGCGGCGGUGCGAAAGCGCAUUUGCGUGUGUAGUCCUGCACGGGUAAGCCCGUUAUAGCUGCCACAAGGCGGGAAUUUCCCGCGAACUGAGGUGGUACCGCGAUAAUUCGCCCUCUUU
rnacentral:ncRNA from 1 species